rnacentral:rRNA from 1 species
GAUGAACGCUAGCGGCAGGCUUAAUACAUGCAAGUCGAGGGGCAACAGGGGUAGCAAUACCUGCUGGCGACCGGCAAACGGGUGCGGAACACGUACAGAACCUUCCUUUAAGCGGGGGAUAGCCCAUAGAAAUGUGGAUUAAUACCCCAUAGUAAUGUUGAGUGGCAUCACUUGACAUUUAAAGAUUUAUCACUUAAAGAUGGCUGUGCGGCUGAUUAGGUAGUUGGUUGGGGUAACGGCCCACCAAGCCAGCGAUCAGUAACUGGUGUGAGAGCACGACCAGUCACACGGGCACUGAGACACGGGCCCGACUCCUACGGGAGGCAGCAGUAAGGAAUAUUGGUCAAUGGACGCAAGUCUGAACCAGCCAUGCCGCGUGAAGGAUG